AUUGAACGCUGGCGGCAGGCCUAACACAUGCAAGUCGAACGAGUGGCGGACGGGUGAGUAAUGUCUGGGAACCAGCCUGAUGGAGGGGGAUAACUACUGGAAACGGUAGCUAAUACCGCAUACCAUCCCAUGUGCCAAGGUGGGAUUAGCUAGUAGGUGGGGUGACGGCUCACGUAGGCGCCGAUCCCUAGUUGGUCUGAGAGGAUGACCAGCCACACGGGAACUGAGACACGGUCAAGACUCCUACGGUAGGCAGCAGUAGGGAAUAUUGCGCAAUGGGCGAAAGCCUGAUGUAGCAAUGCCGCGUGUAUGAAGAAGGUCUUCGGGUUGUAAAAUACUUUUAGCAGGGAGGCGUUACCCGCAGAAGAAGCACCGGCUAACUCCGUGCCAGCCGCCGCGGUAAUUC
rnacentral:rRNA from 1 species